AAUGAACGCUUGUAACAUGCUUUACACAUGCAAGUUAAACUUUUUCAUAGUAGCGAACGGGUGAGUAAUGAGUAACAAUUUACUUUUUAGUUUAGGAUAAGCACAUUUUUGUUUGAAUAUAUAAAAGUAUUGUGCGAAUACUUUAAAAAAUUUUUAAAAAUUUGCUAAGAAAUAAUUUUAUUUAAGAUUAGGUAGUUGGUUUUGGGGAGUCAGCCCACCAAGCCUGCGAUCUUUAGUUGAUCUUGAAGGAUGAUCAACCACAUUGGAACUGAAACAAGGUCCAAGCCUUUUUGGCCAGCAGUGAGGAAUUUUGGGCACUGAACGAAAGUUUGACCCAGCAAUGUUACGUGAAUGAUGACAGCUGAUUUAGUUGUAAAAUUUGUUUAUUAGAAAUGAAAAUGACAUUAUCUUAAAAAAGUCCCGGCAAAUCUCGUGCCAGCAGCCGCGGUAAUACGGGAGGGGCUAGCGUUAUUCGAAGUAACUAGGCGUAAAGGGUUCGUAGACGGUAUCUUAAGUCAAAUAUUAAUAUUAAAAGUUUUUUUAAUACAAUAUUUAACACUAUUAUACUAGAGUUUAUUACAGAAAAGUAGAAUUUUAUGAGUAAAAAUAAAAUUUACAGAUACAUAAAGGAAUACCAAAAGCGAAGGCAGCUUUUUAGUAAUAAACUGACGUUGAGGAACGAAAGUUUAGGUAGCAAAUAGGAUUAGAUACCCUAGUAGUCUAUACUGUAAACACUGAGUGCUAGAAUUUAAAGUUCAUUUAGAUUUUUAAGCUAACGCGAUAAGCACUCCGCCUGAGGAGUACGUUCUCAAGAAUGGAACUCAAAGGAAUUGACGGGGGCCUACUACUAGUGGUGGAGCAUGUGGUUUAAUGCGAUAAUACGCGCGAAAUCUUACCAAUUUUUGACAUAUAUAACAUUUUAACUUAGAUAAUUCAGAUUAAUGU
rnacentral:rRNA from 1 species